rnacentral:rRNA from 1 species
AUUUUCGGGCGACCGCUGGCGGCGUUCCUAACACAUGCAAGUCGAACGGGAGAAUUUGCAGGAAGUCUUCGGACAGAAAGCAGAGGAUCUAGUGGCGGACGGGUGAGUAACGCGUGAGCAACCUGUCCUUAAGAGGGGGAUAACAACGGGAAACCGUUGCUAAUACCGCAUAAGACCACGGUAUCGCAUGGUACUGAGGUAAAAGGAGAAAUCCGCUUAAGGGUGGGCUCGCGUCCCAUUAGUUAGUUGGUAGGGUAAAGGCCUACCAAGACCGCGAUGGGUAGCCGGACUGAGAGGUUGAACGGCCACAUUGGGACUGAGACACGGCCCAAACUCCUACGGGAGGCAGCAGUGGGGAAUAUUGGGCAAUGGGGGAAACCCUGACCCAGCAACGCCGCGUGAGGGAAGAAGGCUUUCGGGUUGUAAACCUCUGUCCCAUGGGAAGAAAAAAAUGACGGUCCCAUGGGAGGAAGCCCCGGCUAACUACGUGCCAGCAGCCGCGGUAAGACGUAGGGGGCAAGCGUUGUCCGGAAUUACUGG